AGAGUGCAUCGCAACUGGAAACUUGACUGCAGAGAGGACAGUGGAACUCCAUGUGUAGCGGUGAACUGCGUAGAUAUAUGGAAGAACACCAGUGGCGAAGGCGGCUGUCUGGUCUGUAACUGACGCUGAGGCUCGAAAGUAUGGGUAGCAAACAGGAUUAGAUACCCUGGUAGUCCAUACCGUAAACGAUGAAUGCUAAGUGUUGGAGGGUUCCGCCCUUCAGUGCUGCAGCUAACGCAUUAAGCAUUCCGCCUGGGGAGUACGGCCGCAAGGCUGAAACUCAAAGGAAUUGACGGGGGCCCGCACAAGCGGUGGAGCAUGUGGUUUAAUUCGAAGCUACGCGAAGAACCUUACCAGGUCUUGACAUACUAUGCAAAUCUAAGAGAUUAGACGUUCCCUUCGGGGACAUGGAUACAGGUGGUGCAUGGUUGUCGUCAGCUCGUGUCGUGAGAUGUUGGGUUAAGUCCCGCAACGAGCGCAACCCUUAUUAUCAGUUGCCAGCAUUAAGUUGGGCACUCUGGUGAGACUGCCGGUGACAAACCGGAGGAAGGUGGGGAUGACGUCAAAUCAUCAUGCCCCUUAUGACCUGGGCUACACACGUGCUACAAUGGAUGGUACAACGAGUUGCGAACUCGCGAGAGUAAGCUAAUCUCUUAAAGCCAUUCUCAGUUCGGAUUGUAGGCUGCAACUCGCCUACAUGAAGUCGGAAUCGCUAGUAAUCGCGGAUCAGCAUGCCGCGGUGAAUACGUUCCCGGGCCUUGUACACACCGCCCGUCACACCAUGAGAGUUUGUAACACCC
rnacentral:rRNA from 2 species